rnacentral:rRNA from 3 species
GCACCCGUUCCCAUUCCGAACACGGCCGUGAAACGCCCCAGCGCCUAUGGUACUUCGUCUUAAGACGCGGGAGAGUCGGUCGCUGCCAGGU